AUACGUAGGGGGCAAGCGUUAUCCGGAUUUACUGGGUGUAAAGGGAGCGUAGAUGGAAUGGCAAGUCAGAUGUGAAAGGCAUGGGCUCAACCCGUGGACUGCAUUUGAAACUGCCAGUCUGGAGUGUCGGAGGGGCAGGCAGAAUUCCUGGUGUAGCGGUGAAAUGCGUAGAUAUCAGGAGGAAUACCGGUGGGGAAGGCGAGGUGCAGGACGAUAACUGCCAGUGAGGUUCGAAAGCGUGGGGAGAAAACAGGAUUAGUUUCCCUGUUAGUCAACGCGGUAAACGAUGAAUACUAGGGGCUGGCUUCCACAGGGAGUCGGUGCCGCCGCUAACGCAUUAAGUAUUCCACCUGGGGAGUACGUUCGCAAGAAUGAAACUCAAAUGAAUUGACGGGU
rnacentral:rRNA from 1 species